AUGAACGCUAGCGACAGGCCUAACACAUGCAAGUCGAGGGGCAGCACAAGGAGCAAUCUGAGGUGGCGACCGGCGCACGGGUGAGUGACACGUAUGCAACCUGCCUGUAAGCGGGGAAUAACCCGUUGAAAGACGGACUAAUACCGCAUAAUACUAAAUUACUGCAUGGUAAUUUAUUUAAACAUUUAUGGCUUACAGAUGGGCAUGCGCAUGAUUAGCUAGUUGGAGAGGUAACGGCUCCCCAAGGCAACGAUCAUUAGGGGUUCUGAGAGGAAGGUCCCCCACACUGGUACUGAGACACGGACCAGACUCCUACGGGAGGCAGCAGUGAGGAAUAUUGGUCAAUGGACGAGAGUCUGAACCAGCCAAGUCGCGUGCAGGAAGAAUGUUCCCUAUGGAUUGUAAACUGCUUUUGCAGGGGAAUAAAGUGCAUCACGUGUGAUGUUUUGUAUGUACUCUGCGAAUAAGGAUCGGCUAACUCCGUGCCAGCCGCGGC
rnacentral:rRNA from 1 species